rnacentral:rRNA from 1 species
AACGAACGCUGGCGGCAUGCCUAACACAUGCAAGUCGAACGAGACCUUCGGGUCUAGUGGCGCACGGGUGCGUAACGCGUGGGAACCUUCCCUUAGGUUCGGAAUAACUCCCCGAAAGGGGUGCUAAUACCGAAUAAUGUCUUCUGACCAAAGAUUUAUCGCCUUUGGAUGUUCCCGCGUUGGAUUAGCUAGUUGGUAGGGUAAAAGCCUACCAAGGCGACGAUCCAUAGCUGGUCUGAGAGGAUGAUCAGCCACACUGGGACUGAGACACGGCCCAGACUCCUACGGGAGGCAGCAGUGGGGAAUAUUGGACAAUGGGCGAAAGGCUGAUCCAGCAAUGCCGCGUGAGUGAUGAAGGCCUUAGGGUUGUAAAGCUCUUUUAACCGGGAUGAUAAUGACAGUACCGGGAGAAUAAGCCCCGGCUAACUCCGUG